UCCUACCCAGAAAUGAUGCCUAUGAACAA
rnacentral:piRNA from 1 species